rnacentral:misc_RNA from 1 species
AAGUCGUAACAAGGUUUCCGUAGGUGAACCUGCGGAAGGAUCAUUAUUACGAAAUCAAAAAUCGUAACCCCAAACAACAAAUUGUGCAUUUCUGUACUGUUCCGGUAGUUUCAUUUGACCUUUGUAAAGGCUUACUUUGAUGUGCUUGCUUCAAAAACAUGCAUAUUCAAAGCACUUCUGAGCAGAUGAAGUGAACGGGUCUUUUUCGUCGAAUGAUUUCAAACUACCGGUUAGUAUUAUCUGCUCACACACUUAACAAACCAUUAACCCCAUGUAACUAUUUUGAACUAAAUACAUCUGACGCAUGCAUCUCAUGUAUGUGUCUGAAUCAAAACCGAACUUAAGAACAACUCUUAACAAUGGAUAUCUAGGUUCUG